GAUGAACGCUGGCGGCGUGCCUAAUACAUGCAGGUCGAGCGAACGGACGAGAAGCUUGCUUCUCUGAUGUUAGCGGCGGACGGGUGAGUAACACGUGGAUAACCUACCUAUAAGACUGGGAUAACUUCGGGAAACCGGAGCUAAUACCGGAUAAUAUUUUGAACCGCAUGGUUCAAAAGUAAAAGACGGUCUUGCUGUCACUUAUAGAUGGAUCCGCGCUGCAUUAGCUAGUUGGUAAGGUAACGGCUUACCAAGGCAACGAUGCAUAGCCGACCUGAGAGGGUGAUCGGCCACACUGGAACUGAGACACGGUCCAGACUCCUACGGGAGGCAGCAGUAGGGAAUCUUCCGCAGUGGGCGAAAGCCUGACGGAGCAACGCCGCGUGAGUGAUGAAGGUCUUCGGAUCGUAAAACUCUGUUAUUAGGGAAGAACAUAUGUGUAAGUAACUGUGCACAUCUUGACGGUACCUAAUCAGAAAGCCACGGCUAACUACGU
rnacentral:rRNA from 1 species